rnacentral:rRNA from 1 species
GAUGAACGCUGGCGGCGUGCCUAAUACAUGCAAGUCGAGCGAACAGAUAAGGAGCUUGCUCCUUUGACGUUAGCGGCGGACGGGUGAGUAACACGUGGGUAACCUACCUAUAAGACUGGAAUAACUCCGGGAAACCGGGGCUAAUGCCGGAUAACAUUUAGAACCGCAUGGUUCUAAAGUGAAAGAUGGUUUUGCUAUCACUUAUAGAUGGAUCCGCGCCGUAUUAGCUAGUUGGUAAGGUAACGGCUUACCAAGGCAACGAUACGUAGCCGACCUGAGAGGGUGAUCGGCCACACUGGAACUGAGACACGGUCCAGACUCCUACGGGAGGCAGCAGUAGGGAAUCUUCCGCAAUGGGCGAAAGCCUGACGGAGCAACGCCGCGUGAGUGAUGAAGGUCUUCGGAUCGUAAAACUCUGUUAUUAGGGAAGAACAAAUGUGUAAGUAACUGUGCACGUCUUGACGGUACCUAAUCAGAAAGCCACGGCUAACUACGUG